rnacentral:rRNA from 1 species
UACGUAGGGCGCAAGCGUUAUCCGGAAUUAUUGGGCGUAAAGAGCUCGUAGGCGGUUUGUCGCGUCUGCCGUGAAAGUCCGGGGCUCAACUCCGGAUCUGCGGUGGGUACGGGCAGACUAGAGUGAUGUAGGGGAGACUGGAAUUCCUGGUGUAGCGGUGAAAUGCGCAGAUAUCAGGAGGAACACCGAUGGCGAAGGCAGGUCUAUGGGCAUUAACUGACGCUGAGGAGCGAAAGCAUGGGGAGCGAACAGG